rnacentral:rRNA from 1 species
GAGCGGAGAUAUAUGGAGCUUGCUUUAUAUAACUUAGCAGCGAACGGGUGAGUAACACGUUGAUAAUCUAUCCUAUACUGGGGGAUAGCCCGAUGAAAGUUGGAUUAAUACCGCAUAUAGCUAUAUAGUUGCAUGAUUAUGUAGUGAAAGAUUUAUUGGUAUAGGAGGAGUCUGCGGCACAUUAGCUAGUAGGUGAGGUAAAGGCUUACCUAGGCGACGAUGUGCAGCCGGUCUGAGAGGAUGAACGGCCACAAUGGAACUGAGACACGGUCCAUACUCCUACGGGAGGCAGCAGUGGGGAAUAUUGCACAAUGGGGGAAACCCUGAUGCAGCAACGCCGCGUGAGUGAAGAAGGUUUUCGGAUUGUAAAGCUCUGUUAGCAGGGAAGAGGAAGGACGGUACCUGCAGAGGAAGCCACGGCUAACUACGUGCCAGCAGCCGCGGUAAUACGUAGGUGGCAAGCGUUGUUCGGAAUAACUGGGCGUAAAGGAUGCGUAGGCGGUUAAACAAGUUAUAUGUUAAAUAUAUAGGCUUAACCUGUAGAAAGCAUAUAAAACUGUUUAACUAGAGUGCAGGAGAGGUAAGUGGAAUUCCUAGUGUAGCGGUGAAAUGCGUAGAGAUUAGGAAGAACACCAGUGGCGAAGGCGACUUACUGGACUGUAACUGACGCUGAGGCAUGAGAGCAUGGGGAGCAAACAGGAUUAGAUACCCUGGUAGUCCAUGC